GGACCCGCACAAGUAGUGGAGCAUGUGGUUUAAUUCGAAGCAACGCGCAGAACCUUACCAACCCUUGACAUCCUGUGCUACAUUCAGAGAUGAAUGGUUCCCUUCGGGGACGCAGUGACAGGUGCUGCAUGGCUGUCGUCAGCUCGUGUCGUGAGAUGUUCGGUUAAGUCCGGCAACGAGCGCAACCCACAUCCCUAGUUGCCAGCAGUUCGGCUGGGCACUCUAUGGAAACUGCCCGUGAUAAGCGGGAGGAAGGUGUGGAUGACGUCAAGUCCUCAUGGCCCCUUACGGGUUGGGCUACACACGUGCUACAAUGGCAUCUACAGUGGGGU
rnacentral:rRNA from 1 species